rnacentral:rRNA from 1 species
UACAGAGGGGGCAAGCGUUGUUCGGAAUUACUGGGCGUAAAGGGCGCGUAGGCGGCCUGUUAAGUCGAACGUGAAAUCCCCGGGCUCAACCCGGGAACUGCGUCCGAUACUGGCAGGCUUGAAUUCGGGAGAGGGAUGUGGAAUUCCAGGUGUAGCGGUGAAAUGCGUAGAUAUCGGGAGGAACACCAGUGGCGAAAGCGGCUACCUGGCCCAUUCUUGACGCUGAGGCGCGAAAGCUAGGGGAGCAAACGGG